GCGGGAGUAGCUCAGUUGGCUAGAGCCUCUGCCUUCCAAGCAGAUUGUCGCGAGUUCGAGUCUCGUCUCCCGCUCCA
rnacentral:tRNA from 11 species